rnacentral:rRNA from 1 species
GAUGAACGCUAGCGGCAGGCUUAACACAUGCAAGUCGAGGGGUAUGCUUCUUCGGGAAGCAGAGACCGGCGCACGGGUGCGUAACGCGUAUGCAAUCUACCUUUUACAGAGGGUAGCCCAGAGAAAUUUGGAUUAAUACCUCAUAGUAUUAUAGAAUGGCAUCAGUUUUAUAAAUUAAAGUCACAACGGUAAAAGAUGAGC